rnacentral:lncRNA from 1 species
UGCAGCCCACUCAAAGCACAAGCAACGCAAAUUACAAACAGGGUAAUGCAGAGAGAGAGAGAGGUAGAUCUGAGUGAGAAAUAGUUUCAAGAAAAUAAUGUGCAGUCCCUUCACAGAACUCACAAAAGCGGGAAAAAGGAGAGAGAGAAGGAAUUCAGGCCCUGUUUGCAAGCCACAUUAACACUUCCCCUGCUGAAUUCUGGGCUACCUCUAUUUCAGAGUUUUGGAGAGAGAGAGAGAUAGUGAGGAGAGAGAGAGAGAGAGACUGUUGCAAAGGGAAACAAACACUCUCACUUGUCUUGCUUUUGGAGCUUUUAUUUAUGGUUAGCCCCUUUUUUUAAUAAUUUUAAUUUUAAUUUUUUUUCUUUCUAUAAUAAUAAGGUGGUGGGGAUGAUUAUUACUCCAUAAGCCACCUUUUUAAUCAAAAUUUGUAUUUUAUUUUCUUUUUUCUUUUAUUUUCUCCUCCACUUUCAUAGAUAUUGGCAUAAUUUUGGGCUUUAAUACUUGCGGCUUGGCUCUUUGUGGAGCCCCUGCUCGGCUCGGCUCGACUCGUGUGGUUGGUUUGAGUUAACCAUGGUUAGAUUUAGCUGAUGCAAAAUGAAAUCUGUAUAUUUACUACCCUCUGAUUUGAAGUCAGAUUUUUACCCUCUUCAAAAAGUUAGUUGACGCAAUAAAUUUUUUUAGUUUUUUUUUUUGUAGUAAAUUCAUUUCGUGUUGUGUGAGUUUACUAUAAUACCCCUUUGAUCUGUUGUUUCCUAGAUUUUGUGAUGGGACAUUUUCAGUCAAACUCUCUCUGAUUUAUAGUUUGUGAUGAUUUAUUUUUCACAAUUAGGUGUUGAUGAUUUCUGUAAAAUUUUGAAUUUAUUGGUUUGACUUUUGAUUGUGAAAUUAUAGCACCUUCGAGGUAUUUAUUUGGUCAGAGAUUUUAUGUCGAAUUUAUAGCAUAUAAAUUGUUGGUGCAUAUUAUUUAAAAAUCUAUUUAUGUAACACAUGUGUUUAUUCUCAUUUUCGAUAUAUUUUUUAAUAUUAUGUACAAAACCUUCCGGUACGGAAAUUAAAAAGAAUGUGUAAAUUGGUUAAAAGUGAUAUUUUUUAAGGUUACAUUUUUUCAAUUAUAAAAAUAGACUACUUAUAGUGUGGCGGCUCAAAAUGAAAUACAGACCACUUUUAUGGGAUGGAGGAAGUAUUUUUUACGACAAAUAAUAUGAAUUAUUUUCUUCAUUCACAAAGAGUAUAAAAAAAGUGGUGUAUAUUUUUCGAGAGGGAAAGAGUGAUUUAUGAUGUGAUUUAAACUCUAGUUGAUAUUCUCACUUUUAUAAGAAAAUUAGAAUUGAUACUGAAAAUAAGUGAAGAAAAGAAAGAAAAGAAGCAACAAUUUUAUACCUUUACAGGUCCAUACCAUCUUCAGAAAUGAAUGCAAACAAGUUGAACUAAUCAUAGUCAAUCAUGCAUGCAUAAAUUUGUAUUUUUUAAAAAAAUUAGAACACAUUCAUAAAUAUGUCCUCCCCUCUAUAGAUAUCUUAUCCAAUCAUAUCCCUUAUCUUACCAUAUUAUAUAUAAGAAAAGUACAACAAGAAAUAAAUAUUUAUAUGAUUAGAAACAAGAGUGUGAGAAUGAAUUUAUGCAAUCUCCACCAACCAAACUACUGGAAAAAUCCUUAAUCCAUCUAGUCAAACUCAACAAAAUAAAAUAAAAUGGUUAAUUAAUAAUUAAUUCCAAUCAAUCAAUUCCAUCCAUUUUCCUUAGUCACAUGUUACUCUAGUAUUCUUUCUUGGUGUUAGAGAGACAACAACAUAGGUGGUGGCAAAGAAAGCUGUAAAAAUUUGGUAAAAAUUUUAAUCUCUCUCUCUCUAGAAUAAGCUAAUAAGUGGUGUUGUGCAUCUUAAAAGGCUAAACAAUGAUGAAACCCUUGUGGGUUUGUCCUUGGCUUCUUUGUAUAUAUCUUAGUUUGAAAUUUAAUAUAUAUUUUUUUUCAUAUAUAUCAAAGUUUGAAUUUUUAUGUGUAGUCUCAAAGGGCAAAGGGACCCCUUUUGAGCAAUAAAGGAAAUGUGAAUUGGCUGGAAAAGAAACUUCAUAACAACUUGUCAUUCUAACUAUAAUAAUUCUUUGCUGCUUUUAGAUGACAUUCACCAAAUUCUUUUUUUUUUUGGGGUGUGAUAAAUGUUUUUAAUUUUGCUUACUGUUUACUCAAGAGACACUGUAUUUUUUCCAGUCCUUUUUCUUUCUUUUGUGGGUUCUUUUUCUUUUAUUGGAAAGAGGGGCAAUUUUAAUUAGUAAUACUCCCUCCGUCCCAUGAAGCGUGACACAGUUUUUUUCGGCACGGGAAUUAAGAAAUUGGUAUUUUAUGUAUUAAGUGUGGUAGGUGAAAAAGUGAAAAUGUGAAUAAAAGGUAAAUUUUUUGCCAUUUUUAGAAACGUGUCAUGCUUCGUGUGGGACGGAGGGAGUAAUAUUUUUUUUUUCUUUUGUUUGUGGUGGGUUUUAUUUUUUAUUUUUCUUUCUCUGCUGAUAUUUAAUGCUCAGGGUAAUAAAUUAUUGCACUGGGAAAAAAAUAGUGCUAACUGCCAAGAAUGUAAAGAGAUGAUGGAGAAUCUGCAGUAGGUUUGAGGAAAACUAACUUGUACAUUUCUUAUUUAAUUCUCUAGUUUGUGAGCAUGUAAUAAUAUGUCUAUAAAGUUAUUUUAAAUUCAUAAAGAAAGGGCAAAAUACUAAAAUUCUUUUGGUGCUUUGUCCAUUCAAUGAGAAUUUCCAACAACCAACCCUUAAUAAUUUUGUGGGUUUUAAUUUUAUUUUUUUAAAUGAUCAGGAAAAAAUCCAAUCUUUAUUUAUAAAUUAUUUAUUCGUUCAUGUGAAAUAGCUUGCAAUCCAUACAUGAUAAAGUAAAUAAUCUCGACUAAUUUUAUGCAACAAGCUCAAGAUCUUUAGGGCAAUUCUUUGUGGUGUGUGUUUUUGUGUGUGUGUGUUUAUUUAGGAGAGUUUAGGUUAGUUAGAAACUUUAAUUAAAUUAAUCAAUUGGACUUAAUUAAAGUAAAUCAUUUUUAAAAAGUAGCCAAUAAUAGUGGGACAAUCCAAAAAGGAAAUGUAGCCAACAAUAUUAGAACGGAUGGAGUAUUACGUAUUUUAUCUCGUUCGUUCGUUCAUUCUUGAAAUCCCAACAUCGUCCCGAUCGCAACCCAUCUCUCUCUCUCUCUCUUAUGUACUUGACUGUGUCCCAGUGCAUGUGUAGCUCUGAAAUCAGAUAAAAAUAAUGUCCAACAAUAAUGAAUCUAAAUAAUUCUUGAAUUUAUAGUAUGUACCCACAGCCUCUCUUAAACCAGUUGCAGAGAUGUAAUAGCUACACAUUAACCGAUGGUCCCCUAUAGUCUCGCAGUUGCUACACCGGGUACAACAUUCACUCCUCCACGUACAACACGUUCGUACAUAGACGAUAGAUGCUACACCUGAUGAAACGACUCCGAGCCCCGUGUACCGGGACAAGAUUUUGUAUGUAUGUUACUAUACUGUAUAAACCAACGAAGUAAUUUUUUGUCGUCGUUACCACGACGAGUUCUGCGAAAUCACGAACACGAUCGAGGGCGCAACGGGAAACGCAUCUCUCGAGAGGAAGCGGCGGCGGUGGUGGUGGUGGGAAUGUACAGAUGAAAUGGGGGACUUGCUAUUCAUGAUUGUCUUGAGGGUUAUCGACCUUGACAAUAAGUGGUUGGCGCAGAUUCUCCGUGGAGCCGGCCGCCACCGGUAAUUCCGGCGAGGCGGGGUCGCGAUCGGAGUCCUCGUUCUCCGCCAACGCUUUCUCUAGAGCAGCUUUUGCCACUCGUGUCACAAUGACCAUUAACACAACUGCAAGCAAGCAAGCAAGCAAACACACGUAUAUUGUUAGACGAGUUAAUUAUCCGAAUUCGAGCCCGUGUUCAGGGGCAAAAUCGUAAUUUUGCUAGUGUUAUCGUGUUAUUUAGUGUUUUGAGUAUCUGUCAUGACCCGUUAGACCGUCUGACACGAGACUUUCCCGACACGAGCAGAAGAGGGCAUUACGAAAUCGAAUCUAGAGCGAGACUUGGCACUUACCCGACACCACAAGGCUCAACACGAUAAAUGCCUGCAUAAGAGAGGAGGGCUAGGUUAAGAACAACGUGCCAUCGGCAACAAAGAGGCCGUUGAAUCCUCGUGUAAAAGAGGAUAAAUGAGCCGAAACAUCAGAAAAUACGAUCACACAGCUCUACACGAACAAGCAUAUGAAGUUCAUUUGUCGGAAUCAAAUCCAAUCACAACUAUUCAGUCUCUAGCAACCCCAAACGAGAGAGCCGACAAAAGAUCGAGCGCAUUGAACUAAAAACAAGAUAAUAACAAUAUAUGCCAAGCAAAUCCAUACCCAACGGGUUUUAGAAAAUCCGCUCCAUCCAUGCGUCACGUCUGAAAUAUCCUUCAACGUUGUUCCAACAUAUACCAAUGCAAGAGUAAUAGGCUACAGAAAAGGAACAAGAAUCAGCACAUACAUUAAGAGAUAGAAAGUUUUAAAUGAGCCCUAACACCGUGAAAGUAUAAUCACUUAAGAAGGAUCGGAUAAGAAAGACGCGUACCAUCAUGCCCAACCACGAUGCCAGCAAAUACGGAACUAGUGGGACUGAAGUCACGGAUAAGAGGUAGUUCAGCAUGUUGAACGGAAGCAACGGAACAAGCCGGAGCAACAAGACAAUCUGUUCGAUGAAAAGGAAUUCACGAGCACACACUCAUAAGAACAUUGAAUCAAGUAGAAGAGACCUCGAUAUCAAGAAUCAAACAUUGAAUUUAGAGUGAGAGGACAUGCAGACCUUAAAUCCGGACCUCCGAAUUGCAAUCUCGACUGCACGAAACUGUGGAUAGUCUUUCAGCUUGGCCAUGACAAACGACCUCCCUAGCUGCCAUAAUUCAGGAGGAAGAAUAUCUCAAUGGGAACACCGAACAUUCUUUUUUACGGUUGCUACUAAAUUAUAGAGGCAAAGUAGGAGAUAUUUGAGGAAAAGGAAUGUUAUAACAACCGAACCUCAAGCUCUCAUCACAAAGAAAACGAAUGCUACUCUAUAAACGCAGAGAAAAAAAAAAGAAAAACUUACAGUUCGCCCAAGAAGAAACGCAGCGCCAGCGCCUAUUGUAGCCCCAACUGAAUCAGCAACAAAUCCGACUGGCAAGCCAAAAAGAUAGCCACCACCGAGCUGAAAGGAUCAUCUCACGCAACAUAACGAUAUGAGAUAAUUUCUUGCUUUCUAGCUUUCCUCUCGGACACACAGGAAUGAUUUAUCAAGACUCAAGACUAGAAAACUAGAACUUGAAAUUAAAACGAAGACGACAAGAGGUUAAGAGUUCGUCCUUACUGUAAGUACGGAAGCUGGUACCGCCAAUAUUGUUAAAGGAAUGUAAGCCACAGCUCUGCAAGGUCCAAAAACCACGUGUCACUACGAAAACGGAUGGAGUUUGUAGGCAUUCUUUAGCACGUGCAAUAUAUUAACACGCAAAUCUUUAGAAAGAGAUUGAACUCAAGUUCAUGAACACUUUAAACACAAUUGAUUACAGAGCAAACAAGAAGCCAUGUCAAAAAUUUGUUCCCUUAUUUUACAAUCAAGAAGAUAUUCGACCAAAACGACCCUUUUAUCUGAAAAUUUCAAUAGCUGACCCACCAUAGUAAGGCAGGUAAAUCUAAACACAUUAAUUUUACUAUGUAAACCCAAAAAACAACAAUGCAUCAGAACUAAUUAUCAGAUAAAUAUGAUUUUUUAGUAGUGUCAUUCUACUUGUUGGCAGAGAAUUCAUAUAAUAUUCUACAUACAUCGUCUGGCAUCUCGAACAAGAAACCGGCAGCAAUCUCUACACCGUUAAGUAUAAAAUAAUUUACAAGAACAUUAAAAUAGUACUUACAGCACCAGAGGACCCCAAGGACCAAGAUCUUCCUCUACCCAUACCAAGAAAUCACUAAGCAUCUGCCACAGAGAAAAUCAAAAGAUUCCAACAUAAUGUUUUUUAGUCAAAUGCAUUGCAACAAAUUUUUGGUCUUAAAUGUUGAAAGAAGCUUGGACUCCACUAUAAAGCAGAGCAUCCAAGCUAUCAAUAUUCACUAUAAAUAUUGAAAUAGGGAAAAUCCAUGAUAGUCUAAAUUUGAAAAUAGAACUCCACUAAUCCAGCUAAAUCAUGCUUUAUCUUAAAUUAAGUUCUAAUAGAGCUUAAGAUAAACACAUUUUCUUGCUAGCAUUUUGUUUUUCCCUAAACAGUUUUUCCAAAUUUCAAGAUUUUAUUCCACCAUCUAAAAACAUAGAAACUACAUUAUCCCAUCCCAACACUGAUUCAAGAAAACACCAACCCACACACACACACACACACAAAAGAAAGAAUUAAGAAGAACAACGAAAACAAAAACAAAAAGAGACCCAGAGAAAAAAUCCAACCUUUUUCAACGGGGGAGAGUGAAGCAAGCAAUCACAAUAGCAGCGAGCAGCAGCAAAAGCAAGAAAAAUCUGAUGAACGAAGCCCACGUGAUAUUGAACGCCAUCUCGAUUGAAUUUGGGGAGAAAAAAUUUAGCUGUUUUGUAUUCCCCUCAAUGUCGUGAGCUGAAUCAAAUUUCCCCCAACACGAACAACGUAAAAAAACCCACAAAAAAAUAAAAUCUUUCGCCACCCCCAAAAAGGCCAAAAAAAUACUAUAAAGAUUGAGAAUCUCAGCUAUGAUUGGGUAAGUCCGCGUUCUGUUCUCUCUUUUUCAUAUUUCUGGCAUUCGUAAAAUGUAAUUUCUUGAAAUUUUUCUUGCUUUAAUUUUCUGUUUUCAAUUUUUUUUUCUUUCUUUUUCGUGUAAUUUUGCUGCUGGCGUUGUAAAAGCUUUCUUUCUGGGAUGAUAAACAUUCCAUCGAUAAAAGGUCAAAAAUGCCCUUGACUCUUCUUGCACGUGACGUCACGUGUUUUGCGGAAAUCAGUUUGUUGCUUGAAUUUUAAAUUUUAAAUUUUAAAGGGAGAAUUAAUUAGGGAAUGAGAGAGAACACAUAUGUAUAUAUUUUUGGUUUAAUUUCAUUUUAAAAUAUACUUGAUUACUCAAAUAUUAAAUAUUAACUUAAAGUUUCAAAAUUACAAAUUAUAUGUGCGAACUUUCCAAAUUUCAGUAAAGUGCAAAAAAUCGAAUACGUUUCUUUAUUAUCAUUAUUAUUUUGAAGAAAAAUGUUUCUUUAUUAUUAAGCCGAGCUCGAAUUUUGAUUGUAUUGUAUAUAGUAGGUUAUAUGUGCUAAACAUCAAAUUAAUGGUGAAGUUUACUUAGAUUUAUUAGAUAUUUCAAUAUUUAUAUCUUGCCAUAAUAAAUAAUUAAAAUUAAUAAUUUAUUCAUUGCAAGCUGAGUUCACAAAUCAACCUAACAUCGAUAUACAUAAAGUAGAAUAAUUCGUGCAUUUAAUUUCCAUACCUCAAAUUCUAAGAAAAUAAAAUCAUUUUCCAUCAUUUCAUUUAUGAUUUUAAUCAAUGAUAUUUAUAUCUAUCAACUAGGGAUGGCAGUGGAUCCUGGACCCGGUCCAGAUCCGUGGAUCCAGAUCCGAUUUGACGGAUCUGGAUCUCAAUUUUUUGGAUCCGCGGAUCUGGAUCCGGAUCUGGAUCUCAUUUUCUAAAACGGAUCUGGAUCUGGAUCUUGACAUUUGAGAUCCGGAUCCGGUCCAGAUCCGACCCGUGGAUCCGAUUUAAUUAAAAAUAUAUUAUUUAUUUUUUAUAUUUAUUUUAUUAAUAAUAUUAGAUAUAUUAAAAAAUAAAAAAAAUAUAGAAUUAACUUUGAAAACCUAAUUCAUCUCUUUCUCCCUCUCGGUCUUCUCACUCUCACUCCCCCGCCGCACCUCCAUCUGCCAUCCCUAGACUCUCCCAUCUCCCAUCUCCCUCAGUCGGCGUCGUGCCUCACCUCCAUCGCCGGUCGUCUUCUCCGAUUCACCCGCCCGCCGCUGGAGUCACGCUCGCCGCUCGAUCUCUGCUUCGCUCGCCCUCCCUGCUUCGCUCGCCGUCCCUGCCUCGCUCCCUGCUUCUCUCCCUCCAUCGCCCGCCGCUGGAGUCACGCCGCGCUCGCUCAGAAAUCCGGGUCAUGGAUUCCCGCUCGAAUCCCCCAUUUGCCGGAUCUCCGAAUCAAGAUCAGAUUUUGGGAGAUUUCUGGUGCACCCAUUUUCAAGAUUUCCCAUAAGGCCAUUGCAAGCAUUGGAAAUCCGUCGACCUUUUACCUUUGGGUGUUAAUAUCUGGGAUAUUCUAUCACCUCUAUAACCAGUCCUCGUAUGAAGCCCUCGAUGACAUUAGCCCCCUCACCUUCUCUGUUGGGAAUACCAUGAAGAGAGUGGUCGUCAUCAUAGCUAGUGUCUUGGUUUUCAGGAACCCCGUCCGACCACUCAAUGCACUUGGAUCUGCCAUUGCCAUUUUUGGGACCUUCUUGUAUUCGCAGGCAACAGCCAAGAAGCCAAAGAUUGAAGGAGCUGAGAAGAAGGACUAGAAUUGAAGGUGGUUGGUGCUUUACAUUUUAUGUUGGUUUAGAAGUUGGACUCUUUUGCUUGUCUUCAUAUUCUUGCUUGUUAGGAAGUUUUGACUGCACAAUGCUUUUUAUAUCAAUUCUACUGUUAUCAGUGAAGUGGUGAAUGAUCUGGGAUGAUGAUGGUUAACAGCUUUCUAUUAUUCAAGAAAAUACAUUCAAGUUAUAAAUGUAUUCCUUUGUUGUAACUGGAAAUACAUUUGAUUCUUGCAUUUCCAAGAUGGUGACUGUCUUUUAUUUUUUUCCAUUCCUUGUGUCUAAAGAUUUCUCGGUUGUGCUUCGCCUAGUCGCCUGCAGAGCUUAGACACACAAGAAAAUGUUUGAUGGGUGCCUCUUUAGGCUAGUGAGACUUUAAACAUUUUGUUUGUCGGUUUUGAGCUUAUGGAAUUAGCAUGAUCACAAAUGAAAUAGCUUGUUACACUUCAAAGGGUAAAUAGCAUUGAGAUUUUAUUAUUUUGAUAUUUUGAUGACUUGAUUUUCAUGAUGGAUAUUAAAUAUUGUUGAUUUUGUACAAUAUUUUUCAUGAUGGAUAUUAAAUGUUGUUGAUUUUGUGAAUUUAUUUGUGAAUUUAAUUUGAAAACAUUAGAUCCAUGGAUCUGGACCCGCGGAUCCGUGGAUCUGACGGAUCUGGAUCUGGAUCCAAAAUUUUCAGAUCCGCGGAUCUGGAUCCGGAUCUGGAUCUGGUAUAUGAAAACGGAUCUGGAUCUGGUAUUGGCCAGACCCGGUCCAGAUCCGGCCCGUUGCCAUCCCUACUAUCAACUAUACAGUGGUACAAUGUGGGAUCUCACACUUAUCAAUACAUUCAAAAAGAAUUAACAUAAAAAAUAUAUCAAUCUGCAAAAAGAAUUAUAUACCCAAAUUUCCCCUAAUAUACCUGCAUUUUUCCUCUCAGAAAAAUCUAAUCUUUCCCAGCUUGCAAUCUUGAUCAUGGCCAAAAAAUUGUGCCCCUGAUCUAUACCCUAGGGCCAAAUUCUAGAUCAAAACCACACGUGUCGGUCACACGUGUGAUCGUGAUCGCUCGGGCGACCGAUCGGGCCCCACGCAGAGCGCGUUGAUCAGCACGUGCCCGAGCAUGAGGUCGACGAAGUAUUGGUGGCCGACCUUGCCGUCGCGCCACCGGGCCUUCAACGGGGCGCGGCCGUAGUGCACCCCGUCGUUGCACCGGUUGUCGAAGUGCCACGGGUAGGUCAUGUCGAAGCCGUCGAUAACCCGAUCGAGCAAGCCGUGCUGCCUCAGCUUGUCCACCACCACCCCAUUGAACACCUCCAUCUUGUGAGGGUUGAACGCCAUCGACCUAGCGUAGCCGCCCGUGGCCACGGUGGUCCGGUAUAUGACCUCCGGGGGCUGCAGCCCCCUCUGCCUCACCCCCUCCAUCACCUCCGCCCAAACACGGCCGCGUAGUCCGCGCCCUUGAUGAAGUUCCGGACGGUCGUCCAGUAUAUCCCGUCGUGCAAGCCAGAGUUCAUGAUCACGGUGUCGGGGACGACACUCCCGGAGAAGUAGCCCUUCAACGUCUCCCGGUACCCUUCGUUGAUCAACGAGUUCAGCCCUUGGUAGUUGCCGGUGUGGUUCCAAUGCCCGUUGAAGAUGCUCGUGAACCGCACCGUCUGAGACGCGUUCCUCGGGUUCGUGAUGUUCAUGUCGAACAGCCUCGGCACGGUGGGGACGACGUCGCUCGCGUCCAAGAUGAAAUGCAGGAUGUUACGGAGGGUGUCGCAGUGGUUGGAGUCGCCCCACCAAAAGAUCCAGCGCCCGCUCAAGCCCCUCCACGCCUCCUCGCUCGUGUAGAGCUUGAACGAGCAAUGGGCCGAGUACACCCACCCGUUGCUCUCCAGCGUGCCUAACGGGCCAUCACACCACGGCUUCCGGCAAGGGAAGCUCGGGCUUUGGCACCUAUACCUACCAUCAUGGCUAAUCGCGCAGUUCUCGUUCCUAGCAUGCCGUGUCCACCGGCCAGACCACACGUCCCUCGUGUAGUCGCUCCACCUGCAUUGCCUGAUCUCGGGCAAACGCAAUGCAGACCUAACAAACUUGAUCGGAACCACACGAAGAACCCUAUCAACCACCAACCUAGACGGCGAAAACUUGAGGCCCUCGUAGUGCCUAAACAACAGGAUCACAGUCAGAUUGUAGUCACCGGCGAAAUCCGGAUGGACUUGGAGCGACAACGAGUAUGUCCCGUUGGCCAUGUCCUUAACCGGGGGCCUCGACUUCCACUUCUCACUCGAGAGAUCCGCCUCAAAGUAAUCGCCACCCAAACAACGAGGCUCCCCUGCCUCAUCAACAGCUCGAAACACAAACUCAUGGAUCUCACCAGCCACCAGCUCCACAUUCCCACCACCAUCCAAUCCAUCAACCCUAACAUCCACAGUCCUCGAAUCCUUACACAGCUCACCCCCCGGAGCCAGCCAGUUUGCUAGGAGACGAGACGAGUAAUUUGCCUCCAGCUCAGACGAAAUCCAAGACACAAUCCCAGGGCUUGAAGAAGUGUUCUUCACCUCAUCAGCCCAGCUCUUGCUAGGAUCAGCUGAAACAUUAGGGCUCAAAACCGAAAUCGACACAUUGUGAGUCUGAUUUCCAUCCAAACUCAGCUGCUGAGAGCUAAUCUGAUCAACAUUUUCAUUGCUAGAAUCAGCUGAAACACUAGGGCUCGAAACCGACACACUGUGAGUUCGAUUUCCAUCCAUAUCCAGCAUCUGAGGGCUAAUCUGCUCAAGAUUUUCAUGGGUUUUGCCCACAAUCUUGCUAGAAUCAGCUGAAACAUUAGGGCUACUAAUCUGAUCAAGGCUUUCAUGGGUCUCUGCAAGAAUCUGGUUGGUGAGGUUCAAAUCAAUCUGCUCAUGAUUUUCCAAAUUGGGCUGAAACUGAAUGGAAUGAUUCCUAAAGCUGAAAUCUUUAAAGGGUAAAGUCUCUGCUGCAGCAGUGUCCAACUUCAACACAACAAAAUCAUUGUGGAAAGUGCUCAUGUUCAAACCAUCAAUCCCCCACACAAUCAAGAUUCCAAGAAACACACACAUCAUCAAAAUCUUGAACCAUGAAUGAACAAUGGUGGGGCUUGCCCCCAAAAACCAUGCAGAAUUCCCAGAUUUCUCCCUCAUCUGAAACAAUCAAACAAACGUACAUUCACAACCAAGAAAAACAAACAAACAAACAAAAAAACAAAACAAAUUAAUUACAGACAAAAAUUCCUAAAAAAAUGCAUUAUUUUAACUAAAGAAGCAGCAACAGAAAAGCAACACGCCCAGCAAAAUAUUUGUGCUCUGCUAUGUUUUCUUGAAGAAAUAAAACAAAGUUAUCGUACAAAGACUCACUCUUUUUUUUUUCCUUCAAUAUAUGCAAGCCAAUAGCUCAAGCUGUCCGGAAUUUCCUUCCCUUUUCCUUUCCCUGAAUCUAGCCGGAAAUCCCUCUCUCUCUCUCUCUCCCUCUCUAGAAUAAUGUGCAGUAUUGUAGUGGAGAGUUUGUAGUUGGGAGUUGAAAAUUUGAUAAUAAUGGAAGAAAAUGAAAAAAAAAAAAGGCGGAAAUGGAGCUGAAGUUGGAUUUAUUAUGUGAUGGCCAUAAUCAAUUCUUGAAAAAAAUGGACUUAUUUUUACCAAUUUACCCUCUUCGUUUCCACCGUCCACCGACGGACAGUUGGCCGUUAAAUGUAUGGGUAUUUUCGUCUUUUCGCAUCUCGCCGCUUGCAUGGUUGUUUGCCACGUGCGGAGAAUUUCAUUUUUAUCAUUAUUUAUGUUAUUAAAAUACAAUUCUGAAUUAUUGAUUAUUUUAUUUCAUAACAUGAAGAAUAGUGGAAAGGUUUUAUGACAGACAUGCCAACGACCAACCGCGUUAAAAAUUUAAAUAAUAUUUAAACUUAUUCUAGAUUAUAGCUUGUACUUUAAUUUUUUAGUGAUUUUUUCAUUUUGAACAUAGAAUAUGUAUUUAUCUUCGUUAUUCACUUAGUAUGCUUUAGUUUUUGAGUAAUUUAAAAAGAGUUUUUGGCUAUAAUUUAUGAAUAAUCAUAUUUUUGAUUUCUUAUUUUCUAGGGCUAUUUGCAGCUAUAAAAGUUGUCACUUACACAAAUGUUUAUUUUAAUUGAAUUACAUUUGCCAUUGCUUCCAUUUAUAUUAGUUUGAACGUUGAUAUGCUAGCUUUGGUUUUUAGCUAAAAAAAAAAAAAAAAAAAAAAAAAACUUUGGGACAAUCGUUAUAAUUGGGGGAAAUCCGAGGGAAUUCAAAGUAAUUAAAAUAAAAUAAAAUGAGAUAAACACCAAUUAUAUAAUUAAUGGUACAAGUCAAAAGUAGUUACCCACUUUUUGUUUUUGGACUAAUCAAUUAGUGCGAUAGACCUACCACAAAAUUAUUUCAAGUAACUAGUGUUCAUACAUACUUAAGUAACUAGUGUUCAUACAUACUUAUUUUCAAUUAUUUUAUUUUAUUUUAAAUGUGAGUAUAGAGAUAUUUGGAAUCUAGACCUUAUUAUUAACGGGAAAAUGUCACAUCACUUUUGUGUUGCCGAAAUCGAAAUCAUAUUUAAUCAGUACAUAACAUUAUUUACUUAAUUAACAAUAAUUUAUAUUGAAAAGUGAUGAUUAGUGAUUUUUUUCAUUCGCAUACAAUGAUAACUUCACUAGGGGUCGGAUUAGUCUUUAUUUUAUUUGUCAUUAAAAAAAAAAAAAAAAUAGACCCAUCAAAGAAUGUAACUUUUUAUAUGGUACAUUAUUUGUACAGUUAGAUAUUGAAUUUAAUGUCGGCAUUGAAUAAAACGACAGAGAUCAUGUGACGAAACGACAUUGCAUGUGACAGCUGCGUUUCAAUUAUUUGGCUGUGUAUUGUUGGCAGUAUGAGAGAGGCACAUAUUCUUACAUGUGUCCAAAGUCAUACUUUAUAAAAUUUAUAAAUUCAUAGAUCUAAAAUAAAUUUAAUAUAUAUAUAAAAAAAAAACAAUAUUCCCAAGAUCCAACAGCUUGUUUCUUCAAAAUUUUCAGUGAAUUUAACUCAAAAUUGAUAAUUUUUUUGGCAUGAAUUUUACAGGGUAAAUAAUUAACAACAAAAUAAACAGAAUGGAAAAUUAAACAGAUUUGAGUAAAAAUUAAUCAUGCAAAUUGUCUUUAUGCAGAAAUCUUGCUCAUGUUGAUCGAAAACAAUAUUUUCUGUUACAAGAAAAUGCAGAAGAAAAAAAAUCCCAACUGCAGAAAUAAUGAAGUGCAUGUUCCAUGUUCAUGGCAACUCAGACAAAAAAAAAAAAAAAAACAUUAAACAAUCAAAUACUACUAUAUAUUAUCUCAUCAUUUCUGCUAAAAGAAGGGGGAAAAUAUAGUAAAUACUCUAAUUCUAGGAAUUCUUAAUGUACAGACAGACAUUAUAUUCUUUUUUCUUCUUCAUUUUUGGUAAAAUAUGGAAGGAUGAGAGGAUAGUGAAGGGAUUGCCCCUUUUGCCCUAUCUAAAAUAUGCAAGAACCUGAAGAUGGAGGCCGAAAAACGCGCCUGGUUGGAAGGCGACGCGCUAGUUCCACGGGUCGUCCCAUCCUUUAGGGCCGUCCCUCUUGAUGAACUCGAUAAUGGCUUGGACGGCCUCCUCGGUUCUGUUGGAGAGCGAGUGGUUCCCAUACUCGAUCUCAGCCUUCUCUGCACCGCCCAUUGCUGUACACAACCUACAGAGAUACGUGUACAGAUACGUAGAGUGAGUUAACGUACGAGCCUUUUCAUGUUAGGCGUAGUUCACAGAGGUUCGUGUUCUUGCCUGUCGACGAGAGAUUUCUUGUCAACGUAUUCUGGCACGUACUCGUCUCCCAUGGAAAACAUGACCUACAAAAAAGUGAUAUCUAAUAAGUAAUAGGCAAAGAGGAGAGCAUUUCUAGGCGAUGUGGCAUGAGCAAGAUAUGACGGGAUAUUGGAGAGACGAGCGUGGAUGAGAGAUUCAAAACAACGAAAAUGAUUCUAACUAUGAGGGCAGAAAUGAAUUUCAGAUAUAAUCGUUUGAGAUUUAGAACUUCGAGUGUAGCAUAAACCGAGCAUCAAGUUUGAACGAGGCCUACCAGGGUAGGCGUGUUGGACAUGUGGCCAAGUUUCUGCCUCAGCUGGUCUUCACUAAAGUCAGAGCUGAACAUGUCGUCAUCUCCGUUGUAUGCACAGAGAGAAUGAAAUCUGGAUAUCACUCACAAACAGUAAGAUCACAGUUCUUGCACAAAUACACCAUACAACUGCAAUGAGUAGUAGGACCUCUCUCUCUCUCUCUCUCUCUCGUACGUACCCACACACACACACACAGUAUUUAAUUGAAAAGUAAGAGGAUUUUUGUGUGAAAAACUAGCAGUGACACCAGCAUAUGCNGGUACCUCUCUCUCUCUCUCUCUCUCUCGGUUAACACACACACACACACAGUAAAGCUACUCACCUGUAGGCAGUAAUGGGAGAAUCUGGAUUGGCUUCUCUUGGCAUCAAUUCUGAUCCUCGGCCUUCAUUUAUCAUCGUUGAAGCUAAAUCAAUCAUGGAGGCAGUUUCCGGGAGAGUGGCUCUAUAUUCACGGUCACUAGCUGGAGCCUGAAAAUCGGAUCGACAAGAUGAGAACUUAAAGAUUCAAAAAAUGAAGUGUAAGAAAAGAUUCAAACCAUAUCGUGUGAUAGAAAAAUUACCUGUAAAAUGGCUGCACGAACUGCCCUCGAACAUGCUGCAUUAGUUCGCAAGUAAUAUACAAUAUCCUAGAAAAUAUCAAAAUGCACAAGCCUUAAGACAUAUUUCAUGCCCUCGAUAAAAAGAGCAUCGAGAUUCAGAUGAACAUUCACUAAAACAGAAUUAGCUAGUUACCUGGCAUCCAGUACUGUGUCCAAGUAGCACCACACCUUCGGAAUCUUCCUUAUUUAUCAGAUAACUAAUCAAUUGAUCGAGCUCCUUGGCAUCCUUCAGAGAAAUGCAACCAUAAAAGUUUUUAGCAAACACAGAUUAGCACUCAAUACUUGUAAAUAUUGAACACACGGGAAAAUCCUCUCUGAAAAUAAGCACAUAAAAGAAUAAAAUGGCAGCAACAAACAACACUGCAAAGGGGGCUUCAAGAUUCACAAUAUUGGCACCACAAAACAUGAAUUUGACAGAGUAUAUAUUUUACUCGUUUCAGGCUUGAGAUGCCAUAUCCACUGUACGAAGACGAGAACAGAAAUUGAACCAGUGACCAGCGCUCUUUCUCCAACGCAAUUGCCAAAGGCUCCAAAUAUCUAGAAAAUCAAGAAUUGUCUAUAUUAGGACGGAAUAAAUAGAUGUCCUUUAGAGUGUAAGUAAUAAAAUGGUUGUUCGUUCAUAUACACAUGGCUUUAGGCAUUUGAUGACGAGAAAAUAGAAAGGGCCUCCAAAUCAGCAAAACAGGGGUAAGGAAAAGAUAAUAAUGAUGAUAAAACCGGCAUAAGUUAACAUACUCGGUAGCCAAAAACCCAUCGGUCAGCCCACCAAUAAAAAUAACUUGCUGUUUGUAGUCACCUGUUUUGAAAGCAACCUGUCCCAAGAGAAAGUAAGAAAGACGGCGAUAUGAACGAAAUAGUGGUCUUAAGACGAUCAAUAUGAAAUACGAGCACAAGAUCAAAUUUGAUAGUGCUCAUCACAAAAGAAUUGAUGUCACUAAAUCAUAAAGAUUUAAGUCUACUUCUUGUGAAUAUAGCAUAUAGUGAGUGAAACAGAACUUGCUCUUGAUGCAUCAUACAAAACAUAGAAACCUAGCAUAUUUCUUCGUUUCUCAUAAUUUGAGCAUCUCAUCUAUCACUCCAACAAGGAGAGACUGU